UACAGAGGGGGCAAGCGUUAUUCGGAAUUAUUGGGCGUAAAGGGCGCGUAGGCGGCUUGGCAAGUGGAUGGUGAAAUCCCUCGGCUUAACCGAGGAACUGCCGUCCAAACUGCUUCGCUUGAGACCGGGAGAGGUGAGUGGAAUUCCCAGUGUAGCGGUGAAAUGCGUAGAUAUUGGGAGGAACACCAGUGGCGAAGGCGGCGACCUGGGUAGAUACUGACGCUGAGGCGCGAAAGCGUGGGGAGCAAACAGG
rnacentral:rRNA from 1 species